GACGAACGCUGGCGGCGUGCUUAACACAUGCAAGUCGAACGGAAAGGCCCUGCUUUUGUGGGGUGCUCGAGUGGCGAACGGGUGAGUAACACGUGAGUAACCUGCCCUUGACUUUGGGAUAACUUCAGGAAACUGGGGCUAAUACCGGAUAGGAGCUCCUGCUGCAUGGUGGGGGUUGGAAAGUUUCGGCGGUUGGGGAUGGACUCGCGGCUUAUCAGCUUGUUGGUGGGGUAGUGGCUUACCAAGGCUUUGACGGGUAGCCGGCCUGAGAGGGUGACCGGCCACAUUGGGACUGAGAUACGGCCCAGACUCCUACGGGAGGCAGCAGUGGGGAAUAUUGCACAAUGGGCGGAAGCCUGAUGCAGCAACGCCGCGUGCGGGAUGACGGCCUUCGGGUUGUAAACCGCUUUAGCCUGUGACGAAGCGUGAGUGACGGUAAUGGGGAAAGAAGCACCGGCUAACUACGU
rnacentral:rRNA from 1 species